UGUCUCUCUCCUUGGGAUAGAGGAUGCUGCAACUCCAAAAUGUGUGUUCUGAGAAGACUGAUGAGAAAUUGAUAGGACCUGCAAACAAAGUGGUUGGGAUUCUGUCAGAGUCCUGCAGCUCUUUACGUCAAUGGUUCCCACUCCUGAAGUUUACCAAAUGGCCGUCUUUUGAUAUCCUCAAGAUGCAGUCUGGAAGACAGCGCCUUUGGGCAUCAAUCUGAACAAUCGUCUUCUUUUCCCGAAC